CAGAAAGACCCUAUGAAGCUUUACUGUAGCUUGAUAUUGGCUCCGGGCUUUGUUUGCGCAGGAUAGGUGGGAGGCGUUGAAAAUUUUCUUGCGGGGAAAUGGGAGCCGUUGGUGAGAUACCACUCUAACAAUGCUAGGAUUCUAACCCUAUACCGUUAUCCGGUUAGGGGACAGUUUCAGGUGGUCAGUUUGACUGGGGCGGUCGCCUCCCAAAAGGUAACGGAGGCGUGCAAAGGUUUCCUCAGGCUGGUCGGAAAUCAGUCGAAGAGUGUAAAGGCAUAAGGAAGCUUGAUUGUGAGACCUACAAGUCGAACAAAGACGAAAGUCGGCCUUAGUGAUCCGACGGUUCCGAGUGGAAGGGCCGUCGCUCAACGGAUAAAAGUUACUCUAGGGAUAACAGGCUGA
rnacentral:rRNA from 1 species